rnacentral:tRNA from 66 species
GUCGGGAUAGCUCAGCUGGUA